rnacentral:rRNA from 1 species
GGGCUUGACAUCCCACGAACCUGCCCGAAAAGGUGGGGUGCCCGCAAGGGAGCGUGGAGACAGGUGGUGCAUGGCUGUCGUCAGCUCGUGUCGUGAGAUGUUGGGUUAAGUCCCGCAACGAGCGCAACCCUCACCCCUAGUUGCCACCGGGUUAAGCCGAGCACUCAAGGGGAACUGCCAGCGUCAAGCUGGAGGAAGGCGGGGAUGACGUCAAGUCAUCAUGCCCCUUACGCCCUGGGCUACACACAUGCUACAAUGGCCAGUACAAAGGGACGCGAGACUGCGAAGUGGAGCUAAUCCCAAAAAGCUGGUCUAAGUUCAGAUUGCAGCCUGCAACUCGACUGCAUGAAGGAGGAAUCGCUAGUAAUCGCGUAUCAGCCCGGCGCGGUGAAUACGUUCCCGGGCCUUGUACACACCGCCCGUCACACCACGAAAGCUGUCUGUACUCGAAGUCGCUGAG